AUGGCCGAGGCCCUCCUCCACCACCUCCCCCGCCGCUUCGGUGCUUCCACCACCGCCUCCUCGUCGCCGUCCUCCCACGGGGUCCUCUCACCCGCCCCACGCGCCGACCUGCGGGUCACGCGCUUGGCGGCUGCCGCCCCGCCUGGGCGGCCACACCGGCUCAUGGCCCAUGCCGCAGUGCGUUCAGAGACUGGUGAGCAACCUAAAUGGUGGGAAAAGAACGCUGGUGCAAAUAUGAUUGACAUACACUCCACACAGGAGUUUUUGGAUGCACUAAGGGAUGCAGGCGACAGGCUUGUUAUUGUAGAGUUUUAUGGAACUUGGUGUGGUUCUUGCCGGGCACUCUUCCCAAGGCUGUGCAGGACAGCCACGGAUAAUCCUAAUAUCGUAUUCCUAAAAGUAAAUUUUGAUGAAAACAAACCUAUGUGUAAACGACUGAAUGUGAAGGUCCUCCCUUUCUUCCAUUUUUAUCGCGGAGCCGAUGGGCAACUGGAGGCGUUCUCAUGUUCCUUAGCUAAGUUUCAGAAGCUGAAGGAUGCCAUUGCCGUUCACAACACCGAUCGCUGCAGCAUUGGUCCACCUGUCGGAGUUGGGGAUGUGCUUGCUAGCUCGAGCUCCCAGGAGGAAGCUGCAAGCUAG
rnacentral:rRNA from 1 species